CCGGCGCCUGCAUGCUCCUCGCUCUUUCUCUGUCCGCCUGUGCCUGCCGUGCCGCGUGCCGACUGCUUUUUCUACUAGUUGUGUUCCACUUCUCGUGUGCGUCAGGGGAGAGGGCGGUGGUAGAAGGAAGGAGUCCUUAGCCCUGUCCAGGCUCCUCGCAGAUCCCGGUUGUCUGGGAGGCGGUUCAUCCAUCCCGGCGUUCUGUUUCGUUGACUUGUGUUUUGGGCAGUUAGCAUCGCGUCUUUCUAUCUCCUUUAGGCUAAAAUAGUGCAAGUUUGUUGCUGACAUUCCUGUGCCACGUGUAGUUAGCCGUACGGCUUACAGUGAUGCAAAGCUCUCAUUUCUGUGAGUUUUCUUUUCAUCUUAAGGAGUGCAGCUCUGUGGCUAAGAUGUGUGUCAUGUAUGAUUAGCCUUAUACUUUAAAGUUAGGCAAAAAAAAAAAAAAGUGGCUCUGUGAUUAAAGACUGACUUUUAAAUGUGUCCAUCCUGAGAGGACAUUCCGCUGGACCUGUGUGUGUGUGUGUGUGUGUGUGUGUGUGUGUGUGUGUGUGUGUACAGGCGUGCUGAUCCUCUUGCUAGCAUUCUCAUAUUUAUGACUGAAUUGUUUUGUUGUUUUAAUUUAGAAGCCAGGUUCAGGCACAUCAGGUUGUCCUAGCUUCUUACAGGCAGCAAGCCUGAGUGCUAACUUCUGUAGCCAGAGUUGACACCCAGAUCAUCACUUCAGAUGCUGUCAAACUCCACCUGCAUUCUAGUUCUGUACCUUCUAGUCCACCAGGAGUUGCUUAGUUACCAAACACGUCAGCAAUCAUUUAAAAAAUUAACAUCAUGGCUUUUAUAUUAGAGAAAAAGUAUUAGCAUGCCAUGUUAAAAAAAAAAAAACAGCCUGGGUAGUGUGCAAUGCUACCUUCAUUUUUAAACAACAUUGCCAAAGAGUUGGUGCCAAAAUUACUCUAUAUUGCUCUAUAAUCCAAAAUUACAGAGGCUCUAUGUUUAGAAACCAUAUUUUGAAUCAGCAUAUGUGCCUUUUGAAAUUAUUUUGCCUAAGGCUAGAACAGGGCAAUUUAAAAAGAUCUAAGAAUAUUAAUUAUGUUAAUAAAGACAAUAUAGGACAGAAGCAGCUUGAGUUAUUGUUUGGUCAUCCUUUAAACCACAAGAUGAUGAGAGUGUUGUUCAUUUUGAGUGCUAAGUGAUUUAGUAAUUGUUAAUGCUAUCCAACACAAAAUGCUGGUGAAUGACACUUGAGGACUUUCUUAAUGAAUACCUGCUCUUCGGAUUUAGCCUGCAU